rnacentral:sRNA from 1 species
UGAAAAGAAGGCAGGAGAGGGCAUCAC